rnacentral:sRNA from 3 species
ACAGAAUCCUCUAGAUGGAGGAUGAGAAGCUCAACCGAGGUUCGACGACUGAGCAAAGCGAAGGCGAACAGCGAAUAGCUGGCCCCGAAGGGGUGAGGCCCGACGGGCCGAAUAAUCCUCCAUCCCCAGCCA